rnacentral:rRNA from 1 species
AGGACGAACGCUGGCGGCGUGCUUAACACAUGCAAGUCGAGCGGAAAGGCCCUUCGGGGUACUCGAGCGGCGAACGGGUGAGUAACACGUGAGCAAUCUGCCCUUAGCUUCGGGAUAGCCCCGGGAAACCGGGAUUAAUACCGAAUAUGACCUCGGCCGACAUCGGCCUUGGUGGAAAGUUUUUCGGCUAGGGAUGAACUCGCGGCCUAUCAGCUUGUUGGUGGGGUAAUGGCCUACCAAGGCGACGACGGGUAGCCGGCCUGAGAGGGCGACCGGCCACACUGGGACUGAGACACGGCCCAGACUCCUACGGGAGGCAGCAGUGGGGAAUAUUGCGCAAUGGGCGAAAGCCUGACGCAGCGACGCCGCGUGGGGGAUGAAGGCCUUCGGGUUGUAAACCCCUUUCAGCAGGGACGAAGCGAGAGUGACGGUACCUGCAGAAGAAGCGCCGGCUAACUACGUGCCAGCAGCCGC